rnacentral:SRP_RNA from 1 species
ACCAGGCGCGGUGGCGCGUGUGCCUGUAGUCCCAGCUACUCAGGAGGCUGAGGUGGGAGGAUUGCUUGAGCCCGGGAGCUCUGGGCUGUAGCGUGCUAUGCGGAUCAGGUGUCCACACUUAAGUUCAGCAUCAAUAUGGUGACCUUCCGGGAGUGGGGGACCACCAGGUUGCCUAAGGAGGGGUGAACUGGCUCAGGUCGGAAACAGAGCAGGUCAAAAACUCCUGUGCUUAUCAGUAGUGGGAUCUCGCCUGUGAAUAGCCACUGCACUCCAGCCUGGGCAACAUAGCGAGACCCUGUCUCU